UACGGAGGGGGCUAGCGUUGUUCGGAAUUACUGGGCGUAAAGCGCACGUAGGCGGCUUUGCAAGUUAGAGGUGAAAGCCCGGGGCUCAACUCCGGAAUUGCCUUUAAAACUGCAUCGCUAGAAUUGUGGAGAGGUAAGUGGAAUUCCGAGUGUAGAGGUGAAAUUCGUAGAUAUUCGGAAGAACACCAGUGGCGAAGGCGGCUCACUGGCCCGGUACUGACGCUGAGGCACGAAAGCGUGGGGAGCGAACAGG
rnacentral:rRNA from 1 species